CAGCAGCCGCGGUAAAACAGAGGGUGCGAGCGUUAAUCGGAUUUACUGGGCGUAAAGCGUGCGUAGGCGGCUAAUUGAGUCGGAUGUGAAAUCCCCGAGCUUAACUUGGGAAUUGCAUUCGAUACUGGUUAGCUAGAGUGUGGGAGAGGAUGGUAGAAUUCCAGGUGUAGCGGUGAAAUGCGUAGAGAUCUGGAGGAAUACCGAUGGCGAAGGCAGCCAUCUGGCCUAACACUGACGCUGAGGUACGAAAGCAUGGGGAGCAAACAGGAUUAGAUACCCCUGUAGUCCCUGUCUCUUAUAC
rnacentral:rRNA from 1 species